rnacentral:rRNA from 1 species
CCUACGGGUGGCAGCAGUGAGGAAUAUUGGUCAAUGGUCGCGAGACUGAACCAGCCAAGCCGCGUGAAGGAUGACUGUCCUAAGGAUUGUAAACCUCUUUUAUAAAGGAAUAAAGUCAGGCACGUGUCCCUUUUUGUAUGUACUUUAUGAAUAAGCAUCGGCUAACUCCGUGCCAGCAGCCGCGGUAAUACGGCGGAUCCGAGCGUUAUCCGGAUUUAUUGGGUUUAAAGGGUGCGUAGAUGGGUUGUUAAGUCAGGGGUGAAAGUUUGGGGCUCAACCGUAAAAUUGCAAUUGAGACUGGCAGUCGUGAGUACAUGUGAGGUAGGCGGAAUUCGUGGUGUAGCGGUGAAAUGCUUAGAUAUCACGAAGAACUCCGAUUGCGAAGGCAGCUUGCUAAAAUGCCACUGACAUUGAUGCACGAAAGUGUGGGUAUCAAACAGGAUUAGAUACCCGUGUAGUC